rnacentral:rRNA from 1 species
UACAGAGGGUGCGAGCGUUAAUCGGAAUUACUGGGCGUAAAGCGCACGUAGGUGGCGACGUAAGUCGGGUGUGAAAGCCCCGGGCUCAACCUGGGAAUUGCAUUCGAGACUGCAUUGCUGGAGUACGGAAGAGGAGGGCGGAAUUCCAGGUGUAGCGGUGAAAUGCGUAGAUAUCUGGAGGAACACCGGUGGCGAAGGCGGCGAUCCUGGACCGGCAUUGACGCUGAAUAGCGAAAGCCAGGGGAGCAAACGGG